rnacentral:tRNA from 2 species
UGGGGUGUAGCCAAGCGGUAAGGCAGUGGACUCUGAAUUCACCAUUCACUGGUUCGAUCCCAGUCACCCCAGCCA